AAGGACCCCGGGAGGGGAGUGAAAGAGAACCUGAAACCCUGUGUUUACAAGCUGUGGAAGCACGUUAAGGUGCAACCGCGUACUUUUUGUAGAACGGUCCGGCGAGUUGCGGAUGCUGGCAAGGUUAAGCACUAAAGGUGCGGAGCCGAAGCGAGAGCAAGUCUGAAUAGGGCGUCAAGUCAGCAUGUGCAGACCCGAAACCGGGUGAUCUAUCCAUGUCCAGGUUGAAGCGAAAGUAAAAUUUCGUGGAGGACCGAACGCACAUCCGUUGAAAAGGGUGGCGAUGAGGUGUGGAUAGGGGAGAAAUUCCAAUCGAACCCGGAGAUAGCUGGUUCUCCUCGAAAUAGCUUUAGGGCUAGCCUCGUAUUAGUCUGGUGGAGGUAGAGCACUGAAUUUCCUAGGGGGCGUCAAAGCCUACCGAAGAAUAUCAAACUCCGAAUGCCAUACAGAUGAUGUACGGGAGUCAGACGGCACGAGAUAAGUUGGGUCGUCAAAAGGGAAAGAGCCCAGACCUGCAGCUAAGGUCCCAAAGUGUGUGUUAAGUGGAAAAGGAUGUGGGAUUUCGAAGACAACUAGGAUGUUGGCUCAGAAGCAGCCACACAUUCAAAGAGUGCGUAAUAGCUCACUAGUCGAGAGGUCCUGCGCCGAAAAUGUCCGGGGCUGAAACACGACACCGAAGCUGUGGACUUGCCUAUGGCAAGUGGUAGAGGAGCAUUCUUAACUGCGGCGAAGCAGUACCGAUAAGGAGCUGUGGAGUGUUAAGAAGAGAGAAUGCCGGAAUGAGUAGCGAGAUGGAGGUGGGAAUCCUCCAGGCCGAAUAUCUAAGGUUUCCAGGGUAAAGCUGAUCUGCCCUGGGUAAGUCGGGGCCUAAGGCAAGGCUGAGAAGCGUAGCUGAUGGACAACAGGUUUAGAUUCCUGUACCACAUGGUAUCAGAACUGUGGGGACGCAGAGGGAUAAGAUGACCGGGGAACAGAACCCCGGGCAAGCGUAGGAGGUGUCAGGCAGGCAAAUCCGCCUGAUAAGCCAAAGACGUGACGCGGACCGAACUCAAGUAGGGAAGCAUCCGAUUCCAGCUGCCGAGAAAAGCCGCUAUUGUGUAUCAUGUGCCCGUACCGUAAACCGACACAGGUGGAUGAGGAGAGAAUCCUAAGGCCGGCGGGAGAAGCAUUGUUAAGGAACUCGGCAAAAUGACCCCGUAACUUCGGGAUAAGGGGUGCCAGAGAGAUCUGGCCGCAGAGAAUAGGCUCAAGCAACUGUUUAGCAAAAACACAGGUCUAUGCGAAACCGUAAGGUGAGGUAUAUGGGCUGACGCCUGCCCGGUGCUGGAAGGUUAAGAGGAGAGGUUAGAGCAAUCGAAGCUUUGAAUUGAAGCCCCAGUAAACGGCGGCCGUAACUAUAACGGUCCUAAGGUAGCGAAAUUCCUUGUCGGGUAAGUUCCGACCCGCACGAAAGGCGUAAUGAUUUGAGCGCUGUCUCGACAAUGCACCCGGUGAAAUUGAAAUACCAGUGAAGAUGCUGGUUACCUGCGCCAGGACGGAAAGACCCCAUGGAGCUUUACUCCAGCUUGAUACUGGGAUUCGGUA
rnacentral:rRNA from 1 species